AUGCAGCAGCAAUCGAGAAACCCCACACUCCCAGAAGAACCCCUGGUGCUGGGAGACGGGCAGCAGCUUAGAACAAAUGAGACGUUAAUACAGAGAAAGGACAUCAUGGCACGAAUUGCAGAGUUGACCCUGCAGAAUUCAGCUAUCAGGGCACAUCUGAAUAAUAUUAUUGGUCCAGGGGGAGAACAAGGGGACGGACUUCGGGAGUUUAACAGACAGGAGACAAGUCAUGGCAGCGACACGAUGGCUACUUUUCCAGCAGUGCAACCUCUGACACCAAGUAGCAUGGAGGAACGGAUUGCAGAAUUGAAUCGACAGAGUAUGGAGGCUCGUGGAAAACUCUUGCAGUUAAUAGAGCAGCAGAAGCUGAUUGGCUUGAAUCCUUCCUCUCCACCAGUAUCACCUGUGCAGUCACCUGUCAGAGCAUGGGCUGAGAAAAUGAAGGAACCAGAUGAUCAGGAUGCUGAUGGGGAGAAAUCAGAUAGAUCCAAGAGUGACAGAAGGCAGUCUCAUUCCUCUAGAUCUCCAUCAGGAACUGCUGUGAGAGAGGAUCACAAGUCUAUUGACAAUACCAUAGGCGAAGGAUUUACUGAAGGGGAAGAAUCAUAUAUAGAGGAUGAUGAAUCAUAUGUGGAAGGAAGUUCAAGUUCACUUCAAGAUGACUAUGCAGAAAGCCUUGAAGAAUCUCGGUAUAUGGAAACUCCUGCCCCAGAUGCAGAAGAGGCAGAGGAAGAAGUUAAGAGGAAAAUAUCAGAAAGCUUCUUCUACGAUUACAUGGAGCUUGUCUCAAUGCCUUUUGUGACUCCAGAUUCAAACAUACCGCUGGAUCUUCUUACACUUGUACAUUCCUUUGGUUAUGACUCCAGAAAGCGGGCCAACCUGAAACUUCUGGAAAGCAGUAUCGUGAUGUACAUAGCUGGAAACCAGUUGAUUUUUCUGAAUCUGAAAACCAAAGAACAGAGCUACUUGCGAAGUAGCAGUGGAGUCGGAAUUGGUGUCACUGGGGUUCACCCUGAUAAAACUUAUUUCACGGUAGCAGAAAAAGGAGUUUUCCCAAAGAUAAUCAUUUAUGAAUAUCCUUCAAUGAGGCCCUAUAGAAUCCUUCAAGAUGGAACUGAUCUGGCCUAUGCGUACGUGGACUUUAACUUCGAUGGUACCCUGCUGGCUUCUGUCGGUGGCAGCCCUGAUCACACCCUGACCAUCUGGAACUGGAAAGAAGAGAAGCCUAUACUGAGGACAAAAGCUUUCUCCCAGGAAGUUUUUAAGGUUACUUUCAAUCCUGAAGACGAUGAGCAGCUCACUACCUCGGGAUCAGGCCACAUCAAGUUCUGGCAAAUGGCUCUAACAUUCACUGGCCUCAAACUUCAGGGUUCACUGGGGCGAUUUGGCAAAACAGCCACUACUGAUAUAGAAGGUUACAUGGAGCUCCCAGAUGGGAAGGUGCUUUCAGGGUCAGAAUGGGGCAACAUGCUGCUUUGGGAAGGAGGUCACAUCAAAGUGGAGCUGAGUCGAGCUGCAGGCAAGCCUUGUCACCAGGGUCCCAUUAACCAGAUAAUGCUGGACGAGGGCGAAGUCAUCACCAUUGGGUCAGAUGGAUGUGUUAGGAUAUGGGAUUUUGAGACUAUAGACACUGCUGAUGUUAUAGAUGAGACUGGAUUACUAGAGAUUGAACCCAUUAAUGAACUUCAAGUAGAUAAGAAUGUCAAACUCUUCUCUAUGAUAAAAAUGAAUGAAGUUGGAAAUAACUUUUGGUUGGCUCAGGAUUCCAAUGGAGCCAUAUGGAAGCUUGACCUUAGCUUUUCAAACAUUACCCAAGACCCAGAAUGCCUGUUCUCCUUCCAUUCUGGAGCCAUUGAAGCUUUGGCCGUCUCUCCUGUCACUUACCUCAUGGCCACUACCGGCUUGGACUGCUCUAUUAGAUGCUAUGACUUUGCUGGCAAAACUCCUUUGCUUCAGAUGAAAUUCAAGCAAGGAGGUACUGCCCUUGCUUGGGUACCACGGCUGCCUGAAAGUACUUUGCUGAUUAUUUGUGAGGAUGGCUAUGUUCUUGAAGCUCCGUUUCCAGCUAUAAAGGAGGACAAGGAGGACCGUGAUGUAGUUUCCUAUGAAAUCAAAGACAUGUGUUUAAAAUAUUUCCAUUUCACAAGUGUCAAAUCUAAGAUUCUGAGAUUAAUAGAAAUUGAAAGGAGAAAGAAACAAAAGGAGCUGAAGGAGAAAGAAAAGCAAGAAAGAAGGAAAAGGCUAGAAACAGCGAUGGGCGAAGAUGCGGAAGAGGAACUCCAGGAAGAAGAGGAGGAGGAGGAAGAGGAGGAAGAGGAGCCCUUACCCGAAAUCUUUGUUCCUUCAACCCCCUGUCACAUCCUCUGUGGAUUUUACUCUGAGCCAGGAAAGUUCUGGCUUUCUUUGGGUGGCUAUGAUUCUGGUUUUCUGUACCACUGUGAAUUCCCCCCAGAUGACAAAAGCAGUGAUAACACAGUAAGGAAAGAUGAACCUUUUGAUUUCCGUCUUCUUGAGGAUACAGAGGAUAAUCCCAUCACAACUAUCACUUUCAGUAUUAACCGAGAAAUGAUGUUUUGUGGAAUGCAAAAUGGAGCGAUUCGAGUUUAUAUCCUAAGUAAGAAUGAUUCUUCAUUGACCAGCAUGGAGGACUACUGGCAGUACAAUGUGCAUGACAAUAAUUAUGGACGUGUUAAUGCCAUCUCUACUAGCUUUGAUGACCGGUUCUUGGUGACUGCUGGAGCAGAUAGUAAUAUCUUUGUUUUCAACAUUUUUUCUGAGUUUGAGUUAAAGAAAGUUGUGAAAGCCAAAGUGCCAUCUCCCAGAUUUGGAAUAGAAACAGAGCCAAUUCCAGAAGAUAUUGAAGAUCCUAAAGCCUACAGUAUUGAGAAUGCCAGAAGAAAAAGAGAACAUGACAAGUUAAUGAAAAAAGUAGAAGAAAUCAAGGCUGGAAAGAGAGAACAGAUCAAAGCUUUAAGGAAUCAAUUACAGAAACUACUACAGAUGAAUGAAGAAUUACCCAAACAUAUGCAGUUUAAACGGACAGAUUUUGAUCUGGAUUCCAAAAUUCGUGCUGAGAUUGGCAAGAAAACAGCUAAUAAAAUUCAACGAGUGGAAAAGGAAUUGGCUUGGGAAAAGGAGAAACACCAGGUUAGCCUAAAGAAGCUACAGAAUAGAUUUCGUCAUUCAUUGGAAAACGAUAUUAUUGUAGUUCAUGCCAUUCAGAGUGAUCACAAGAUAUCCUCCUAUAGGCUUGUGAAACCCUCUAAAUACUCCAAAACCAAACGGGCAAGUCAAUCAGAGAGAAGACCAAGCAAAUUUGAGAGGUUUGAAAAAGAAGGAACUGGAAGAAAGGAUAGCCAGAGAGAUACAGGUGGAAGUAUUAGUGUGCCAGAAGAAUCAGUCAUAGAGAAAGGGAAGAAAUUUCGACCUAAAACCCUAAGUGAAAUUAUGGUGGAAAAUCAAAUUGAGAAAACAAGGAAACUUAUAUUAAAAGCUGAAAGGGCCCAAAUAAAGAUUCAGCAAAGAAAAAAAGAAUGGGAGGAACUGUACAAGAGUAAACCUGAUGACGGCUAUGAAGAUCCCAAAGAUGUUCAGGCCAUCAAAGAGGCCCAGCUAUUUAUGGGAGACUUCAAUUUGAAGACAGCCUCAGACUAUAAGAUACCUGAGCACAUGAGAAUAAAUGCUGCCAAGAAGGAGGAGGAACUGGGGUACCUAGACUCUAUGGCCUACUCAAAGAAAAUGCACAUGAACAAGAGCAUCAUCUCUCUUCGAGACCUUAAGGUGGCUGUCAUCGAGGAAAUACAGUGUCUGGUACAAGAACUGAAGAACAUUCAGUCGACUCUUCCCAUAUUCAAGCACCUGCCCAUUCCCCAGGUCCCUCAGAUAUAUCCAGAAGAAGUUCCAGAAAAGAGAUUUCAGUAUGAUGAUGAAACCCUCCUAGCUUUUAAGCAGCAACAGCAGGUGAAAAGUCAGGAUGGAAAGGCCCACCAGGUGGGACAGACAGCAUUUGCAGGCUCAGCUGGAGGCUUCCUCAGACUCUCUUCUGGAAAGGAGGGGGAUUUAACGACACGUGACUCGUUGUCUAGAGCAUCAAAAGCAUCAGCAUUCAGCCUGGACCUUCCAAAGUUCAUAGAAUUUGAAAAAGCAGAUCCAACUGACGUGGAGCUGGAGAUUAUGAAGAGGGAGGAGAUCAAACACGUGUACAUGCAACAGUAUUUGAUCAACCGGAUCAAAGAACUGAUUGUCACCUUUGAUGCAGAACUCCGUCUCCUGAGACAUCAGAAACUGAAGUUAGAUACUCAGAUGAAAUUAUCUGACCUGCACCAUGUCACAUUAUUUCAAGAAAUGCUUCUCCUGAAGAACUUUGAAAAACAGGAGAACAUACUUCAGGAGCGUGUUAAUUCAUUAGACAAAGAGGAACAGGACAUGCAAUGGAAAAUAAAUGAAACUCUUAAAGAAAUGGAAGAGAAAAAGAAUGAAGUAGCCAAGCUCCAGGACCAAGAAAAAGCACUCUAUGCUGGUUUCCAAACAGCACUUGGAGAAAACAAUAAAUUUGCUAAUUUUCUUAUGAAGGUACUAAAGAAGAGGAUUAAGCGGGUGAAGAAAAAAGAGGUCGAAGGAGAUGUCGAUGAAGAGGAGGAAAGUGAAGAAUCAAGUGAAGAAGAAUCCAGCUUGGAGAGUGAUGAGGAUGAGUCUGGAUCUGAAGAUGAGGUUUUUGAUGAUUCUAUCUGCCCAACAAAUUGUGAUAUAGGUCUCUUUGAACUGGCCCUUCAACUUCGAGAGAAAAGGCUGGACAUUGAAGAGGCUUUAGUUGAAGAAAAAAAAAUGAUCGAUAACCUCAAAAAGGAACAUGAUACAUUGUCCAAAAAAGUAAAAAUUGUGGCAACUAAUCUGAACGCAGCAGAGGAGGCGCUGGAGGCUUAUCAGCGUGAGAAGCAGCAGCGGCUGAAUGAACUGCUGGUUGUGAUCCCGCUGAAGCUCCACCAGAUAGAGUAUGUGCUGUAUGGAGAAAUACCAAGUGAUCUUUCUGGAUCUUUGGUCUUUUCCAACCGCUCCUUGGGACGACUCCAAGAGCGAAUUGUCCAGCUCCACGAGGAAAAUUCCAAGCAGCAAAAACUUAACAAAGAAUGCCGGGAGAGGCGUAAGCAGCUCAUCCGAGAAAAGAGAGAGAUGGCCAAAACAAUACAGAAAAUGGAAGAAACAGUCAGUCAACUAAUGAUUAGCAAGUUUGGCCGCGUGAUCAAUCUAGAAGCCCUUCAGACACUUUCUGUGAAUACAACGCUUGAAGAACUAAAGAUCAAAAAGCUUCGAAAGGAGCUAUCGAACGUAAAGGAAAUGAAAAUGUGGGAGGAAAAGAUUGCUCAGGUUCGAUGGGAAUUGAUGAUGAAGACAAAAGAACACACCAAAAAACUUCAUCAGAUGAAUGAUUUGUGUAUUGAAAAGCAGCGGCUUGAUUCAAGACUGAAUACUCUACAGAACCAGCAGGGCAAUGCCUUCCAGGGCCCUCGGAAAGCAGAUAUUGAGGCAAGAGAAAGGGUCACUGAACUGAUACAAGUCCAAGCCGAAAGGAUUCAGGCCUUAAAGGAAGAGAUUGCUCUUUUGCGUAAGAAAGGUGGUCUCCUCCUGCCCCCGAUUCAUCACCCACAAGAGAAUGAAUGA
rnacentral:lncRNA from 1 species